UUUUUUUUUGGUAUCCAAAGGGUAUGAGUUAAAGAGAGGUAGAUUGGGAGCUUUUUCAUAGACUGACUUGCAAACGUGGAAUAGACUGCCUUUAGCUUCCUGACCUUGAAGAUGUUUUAAUCAUAGGCUAAGUGACUACCUGCUGCAGUGCUGUAGGAUGCCUCCUGUGUGCAGAAUAAGGUUAGACUAAUGACUUCUGGGGUCCUUUCCCAUGCUGAGAUCUAAUGGUCUUUCAGUGCCUUCCCUUCUCUACUAGUUGUCCCUACUGCUCAAGGUCUGGAGGAGCAUUUGAGGAAAAGGACCUUCAGACUUCCAGCACUGAGAGAUUUCUUUGUUAAAGGCAAAACAACUCUGGAAGCCUUGGCUGUGGGAGGUUAGAAUAAGCUUUUAGAAGAACUAAUGAACCAAAGGAUAUUGUCCUAAUUUGAAUGACACCUUCAAACUGCAAGAUUUUCAGAAAACUCAUAUCAGCCGGUAUUAUCGUCUGACCAGUUUUGAUGACUACAGUUCUCUAGUUUUUGACACCUGAAUCACUUUUAAAAUACUGUAUAAUAGCUGUGAUAUAUCUACAGGUCUGUACAUAAGUCUUAAGUAUACCGCUUGAUGAAGUAUCACAGAGUGAACAGUUAUAUAGUCAUCAUAUAGAUAGCCAAGAAAUAAAUGUAUUACCUGAGGAACAGAACUACAUCCCCAAAGCUCCCACCAUUACCAAUAUGAUUUUUUCCCCAGGCUUUAUCCUACUAUUUUCCUAAAGGUUUGAUUUCUAACAUUAUAGGUAAACUUUGCCUAUUUUGAGUUUUAUGUAUUCACAUCAGCAGCAUAUAAACAUUCCACUUGCUCCACAUUCCUCUUAGCACUUGGUUUUACUGUGUGUUUUUACUUUAGCCAUUUUAGUGGGUGUGUAGUGAGUGAUACUAGUUAAUAAUUUGCAUUUCCCUGACGACUAAUGAAAUUGAACACUUUUACUAAUGUUGGCAAUUCAGAUAUUCUCAUUUAAAAAGAACCUGUUUAUUUCAUUUUCAUUUUUCUCUCCUUCCUCUCUUCCUCUUUCUUCCCUUCCUUUUAUUUUUCUGUAGAUACCCUGUAUCAGAUUAAGAAGGUAUAUUUCUAAUCUGAUACAUUUUUUUCCUUUUUACCAUGAAUAAUAUUGACAUAUCAAAUGUGUUUUCUGCAAUUCAAAUGGAGGAAUCAUUGACUUUUCUUCUUUAUUCAGUUAACAUGGUGAGUGACUCUGCAUUUCUGGAGUAAAUCUAGUUUGGCUACAUAGUAGUCUUCUUAUAUGUUAGUGGAUUUGGCUUGGAUACUUUAAUGAUCUACACUAAGGAACCGAUAAAACAUUCUUGGAAAAAUUUUUGUACUUUAUGUGAGCUCCUAAAUAGGCUUGAAUACUUUUUUUUUCUUAGAAGGAGUAAAUAUUUUAUCUGCAGUCAUAUUUAUACUGACAGCUUGAUCAGACAUCAUUCUGUUUGGAUAUAAGUGAUAUUGUAGUCUCUUCUGUGGAUGAAAAGCUCAGUGUAUGUAUUUGCAACUUAACUUCUUUGGAAAAACCUUAUUUUCUACUAGAAUAAGAAAAUUUGUACUUGUAUAGACAUUACAGAAAUAUUACUUUAUUAUUUGUCAACUGGAAAAGUUUCUCAUUGACUUAUGUUCUAGGUUUUUUAUGUUCUUUAAUUACAAUUUAAUUAAAUUAACAAUUUAAUGAAUUUAAUAGUGUACAGGGGGCUUUUUACCUCCAUUAUCUAAUUUGAUCUUCACAAUCUUAUGAAAUAUGUAGUUUGUAUUAUUGAAGGUCUCAUGAGGAGAUUUUAUAUUCAAACUGGAGUACAGAUGAUUCUAAAGUCUUUUCUCUCUCCCAAUUUCUUUGAUUCUAACUAAGGCUCAACAUGAACAAUCAGCUUUGAAGAGUCUUUGACAGAGGCUCUUAAAUGUCUUAGAGUAUCUUCUACUUUCUAUAUUAUUAUGACCCUUUUGAAAGGGACCCAGUAUUCCUAGAUCUAGAAUUUAGAAUGCUUGAUGUCAGACUCUGGGAAGAAACACAAAAAUUUAAAGUACUUUGAGACUAUAGAACACCGAGAUUGGUUCUAUACAAUGACUUUGUAACUGUUGCUUAGGACUAUGGAUUGUCAGAGAGAUGAGGUCCAACACCUCCUGUUCUGUUCUCUUCUCUGUGGAAUGUGGCUUGGUGAUGGUUGUAAGAUGGGGAGAUAAAGGUGAAGACUGGAGAAGAUAAUAUACAAUUAGGACAUACAGACUCUUUGUGACAGUUUCCCUUUCUGUGUGAUUUUUGGAGCAGAACUUAGCACACUUCCAUGACAUCCAGCCAGUCAUCUGUAUGUCAAUAAAGUUUCCCAACAUUGUAUGAACCAAAACAGUCUCUGCCUUCUCUAGGCCACCCUGGACCACCAUGCAGACCACUGAGGGAGGGGAUACUAGUAACACCAACAGUUACCCUUACGUUUCAGAUCAGGAAACUCAGAGACUUGUCUGUUCUGCACAGUUAAGAGCUGGGAUUGGCAGUGGAGCUUAGAACCAAGACCUUCUGACUCCAGUCUCUAAAAUCUUAAUUUCGUUUUUAAUAUAAUUUUCAUUGAUCCAUUUGGCAUUUGAUGAGUAUAAGUAUUUGCAUUUUUGCAGGGGAGGGGGUGAAAGAGCAUCAGUAUUUGUUCCUCUAGAUGUCACUAGUUAUUGGUAUCACAGGAGCAUGUCCAACUGGGCUGAUGGAAUUUGCUCAAGCCCUCUUCCUUUCUGGCUUUUGCCUGCUCACAUUUUCAAAAGCAGGAUCCGGGAGUUCCCGUCGUGGUGCAGUGGUUAACGAAUCCAACUAGGAACCAUGAGGUUGCGGGUUCGGUCCCUGCCCUUGCUCAGUGGGUUAACGAUCUGGCGUUGCCGUGAGCUGUGGUGUAGGUUGCAGACGCAGCUUGGAUCCCGCGUUGCUGUGGCUCUGGUGUAGGCCGGUGGCUACAGCUCCGAUUGGACCCCUAGCCUGGGAACCUCCAUAUGCCGCGGGAGCGGCCCAAGAAAUAGCAACAACAACAACAACAACAACAAAA
rnacentral:lncRNA from 1 species